GACGAACGCUGGCGGCAUGCCUAACACAUGCAAGUCGAGCGAGCUGAUUCCUUCGGGAUGAAGCUAGCGGCGGACGGGUGAGUAACACGUGGGCAACCUGCCUCAUAGAGGGGAAUAGCCUUCCGAAAGGAAGAUUAAUACCGCAUAAGAUUGCAUCUUCGCAUGAAGAAGCAAUUAAAGGAGUAAUCCGCUAUGAGAUGGGCCCGCGGCGCAUUAGCUAGUUGGUGAGGUAACGGCUCACCAAGGCGACGAUGCGUAGCCGACCUGAGAGGGUGAUCGGCCACAUUGGGACUGAGACACGGCCCAGACUCCUACGGGAGGCAGCAGUGGGGGAUAUUGCACAAUGGGGGAAACCCUGAUGCAGCAAUGCCGCGUGAGUGAUGACGGCCUUCGGGUUGUAAAGCUCUGUCUUCGGGGACGAUAAUGACGGUACCCGAGGAGGAAGCCACGGCUAACUACGUGCCAGCCGCCGCGGUAA
rnacentral:rRNA from 1 species